AUAUACGACCGUACCGCAAACCGACACUGGUGCGCGAGAUGAGUAUUCUAAGGCGCUUGAGAGAACUCAGGAGAAGGAACUCGGCAAAUUGACACCGUAACUUCGGAAGAAGGUGUGCCCUAUUAGUGUGUAGUGAACAACGAAGCAUGAAUGGGUUGCAAAAAAACGGUGGCUGCGACUGUUUAUUAAAAACACAGCACUCUGCAAACACGAAAGUGGACGUAUAGGGUGUGACGCCUGCCCGGUGCUGGAAGAUUAAAUGAUGGGGUGCAAGCUCUUGAUUGAAGUCCCAGUAAACGGCGGCCGUAACAAUAACGGUCCUAAGGUAGCGAAAUUCCUUGUCGGGUAAGUUCCGACCUGCACGAAUGGCGUAACGAUGGCCACACUGUCUCCUCCUGAGACUCAGCGAAGUUGAAAUGUUUGUGAUGAUGCAAUCUCCCCGCGGAAAGACGGAAAGACCCCAUGAACCUUUACUGUAGCUUUGUAUUGGACUUUGAACAGAUCUGUGUAGGAUAGGUGGGAGGCUUUGAAGCAGGGUCGCUAGAUCUUGUGGAGCCAACGUUGAAAUACCACCCUGGUGUGUUUGAGGUUCUAACCUAGGUCCAUUAUCUGGAUCGGGGACAGUGCAUGGUAGGCAGUUUGACUGGGGCGGUCUCCUCCCAAAGCGUAACGGAGGAGUUCGAAGGUACGCUAGUUACGGUCGGACAUCGUGACGAUAGUGCAAUGGCAUAAGCGUGCUUAACUGCGAGACUGACAAGUCGAGCAGAUGCGAAAGCAGGACAUAGUGAUCCGGUGGUUCUGUAUGGAAGGGCCAUCGCUCAACGGAUAAAAGGUACUCUGGGGAUAACAGGCUGAUACCGCCCAAGAGUUCAUAUCGACGGCGGUGUUUGGCACCUCGAUGUCGGCUCAUCUCAUCCUGGGGCUGUAGCCGGUCCCAAGGGUAUGGCUGUUCGCCAUUUAAAGAGGUACGUGAGCUGGGUUUAAAACGUCGUGAGACAGUUUGGUCCCUAUCUUCCGUGGGCGCUGCAGAUUUGAGGAAGCCUGCUCCUAGUACGAGAGGACCGGAGUGGACACACCUCUGGUGUAUCGGUUGUCACGCCAGUGGCAUUGCCGAGUAGCUAAGUGUGGAAGAGAUAACCGCUGAAAGCAUCUAAGCGGGAAACUCGUUUCAAGAUGAGAUCUGCCGGGGCCUUGAGCCCCCUAAAGAGUCGUUCAAGACCAGGACGUUGAUAGGUCAGGUGUGGAAGC
rnacentral:rRNA from 1 species